rnacentral:rRNA from 1 species
UACGUAGGGGGCAAGCGUUGUCCGGAUUUAUUGGGCGUAAAGAGCGUGUAGGCGGUUUGGUAGGUCCGCUGUGAAAACUCUGGGCUCAACCCAGAGCCUGCAUCCAAAACUGGAGAGCUUGGGUACUGGAGGGGAAAGCGGAAUUCCUGGUGUAGCGGUGAAAUGCGUAGAUAUCAGGAGGAACACCGGUGGCGAAGGCGGCUUUCUGGACAGUUACCGACGCUGAGGCACGAAAGCUAGGGGAGCAAACAGG